UACGGGGGGGGCAAGCGUUGUUCGGAAUUACUGGGCGUAAAGGGCUCGUAGGUGGCCAACUAAGUCAGACGUGAAAUCCCUCGGCUUAACCGGGGAACUGCGUCUGAUACUGGAUGGCUUGAGUCCGAUAGAGGUGGGUGGAAUUCCUAGUGUAGAGGUGAAAUUCGUAGAUAUCUGGAUGAAUACCGGUGGCGAAGGCGGCAUCCUGGACCGACAUUGACGCUGAGGAGCGAAAGCUAGGGGAGCAAACGGG
rnacentral:rRNA from 1 species